UACGUAGGGUCCGAGCGUUGUCCGGAAUUACUGGGCGUAAAGAGCUCGUAGGCGGCUUGUCGCGUCGGAUGUGAAAGCCCCGGGGCUUAACUCCGGGUCUGCAUUCGAUACGGGCAGGCUAGAGUUCGGUAGGGGGAGAUCGGAAUUCCUGGUGUAGCGGUGAAAUGCGCAGAUAUCAGGAGGAACACCGGUGGCGAAGGCGGAUCUCUGGGCCGAUACUGACGCUGAGGAGCGAAAGCGUGGGGAGCGAACAGG
rnacentral:rRNA from 1 species